ensembl:lncRNA
CUGGACAUUCCCAAGCCAUGUCAGCCUCCCAACCUGUGCGGCCGGGAGGAAUUUGUCACCUUUGGUGGAUGCACACCCUGGAGGUCUGCUGGGCACGGAGCUCUAGUGUAGCAACCAAGCCAGCAUCACAAUGUGUUGUGUUGCGUGGAGAUAGCAACAGAAUCUGUACAGUGCUGAUGUAGCCACAUUAAUAGAUUCACAUAUAGACUAAAGUACAACUGCUGCCCAUGGCAGCCCUCAGGCAAAAGCUCCAGAAGAGCACAAAGGCCUUGAAGGUUAAGCUUGAGAUCUGUCAGUCUGGGAUAUGAAGCACGCUGCUGAGUUAAAGGUCUUCCACUUGCAACAUCUUGCGGUCUGACCCUGGACACUCAAAUUGGUAGCAGGAACCUAUCACAUCAUUGUCAGUGAUCUAGGGGAAUAGAAUUUAUCUUACCCAUAGCUAAAAAAUCAGAAGUGUAAGAGAAAAAUUCAGUAGACUUGCAAAAAGGAAGGGAGAGUUACAGUGGAUAACUGGAUGAACAUGUUCUUGGGGUGCAAAAAGCAAACAAAAUAUUUGCCUGUAAAUUCUAUGUAAAUGCCUAGAAGACUUGGCAUCACAAAGUUUGUUUGUUGAGUACUACUUUGUUGUUCUUGUUAAAUCAUAUCAGAAAGACAAAGUAAAAGCCACAAGGUAAUUAGGGUCUGUUGGAAGGAGGUGGUGGUUGCAGAGAUCAGUCUAAGUAGCUUACUUAGUUAAAGGAUAGGAUACGAUUUUAUCACAGUAUGUAUCUUUGGGCAGGAGAUUACAUAAAGAGGAGGAAUGUUUACAUGAUGGAACAAAGAUCUGAGAAGAUGCAAGUUUUAACACUAAGAAUUCUUUGAAAUAAGCAUCAAGAAAUGAGUCCGAUUUUCUGCAACUUCAAAUUUUGAAGAGAAGAUUAGAUAGCAUUUUAAAGCAGGCAUCAUAGCUUCUUUGGAAUUUGUGGGUUUGAUGCAAGAAUUGUUAGGCAAAAUUUCAUGUUCUACAUUAAUGCAAGUCAAAUAAGACAAUGAAAACUAGGAAGAUGUUGUGUUAAGACUGCUUCCACCUUUCCCCACUAAUUCCAGUCAGUCUGAUGCACAUUCUGUUUUACCAG